rnacentral:tRNA from 5 species
GCCUAGGUAGCUCAGUGGUAGAGCACUUCCUUGGUAAGGAAGAGGUCGGCAGUUCAAUCCUGCUCCUAGGCUCCA